rnacentral:rRNA from 1 species
AGAGUUUGAUCCUGGCUCAGGAUGAACGCUAGCGGGAGGCUUAACACAUGCAAGUCGAGGGGUAUAGUAGCAAUACUAGAGACCGGCGCACGGGUGAGUAACGCGUAUGCAACCUGCCCUUUACAGGAGGAUAGCCCGCUGAAAGGCGGAUUAAUACUCCAUAAUAUGGUACAGCCGCAUGGUUGAACUAUAAAAGCUUAGGCGGUAAAGGAUGGGCAUGCGUGACAUUAGCUAGUUGGCGGGGUAACGGCCCACCAAGGCUACGAUGUCUAGGGGUUCUGAGAGGAAGGUCCCCCACACUGGUACUGAGACACGGACCAGACUCCUACGGGAGGCAGCAGUGAGGAAUAUUGGUCAAUGGGCGCGAGCCUGAACCAGCCAUCCCGCGUGCAGGAAGACGGCCCUAUGGGUUGUAAACUGCUUUUGUGCAGGAAGAACGUACGGAUCGUGAUCCGUAGUGACGGUACUGCAUGAAUAAGCACCGGCUAACUCCGUGCCAGCAGCCGCGGUAAUACGGAGGGUGCAAGCGUUAUCCGGAUUUAUUGGGUUUAAAGGGUGCGUAGGCGGUUAAAUAAGUCAGUGGUGAAAAGCUGCAGCUCAACUGUAGUCCUGCCAUUGAAACUGUUUUACUUGAGUAACCAUGAGGUAGGCGGAAUGUGUAGUGUAGCGGUGAAAUGCGUAGAUAUCAGAGGAACACCUGUGGUGUAGACAGCUUACUGGACCACUUCUGACGCUAGCACGAAAGCGUGGGUAGCAAACAGGAUUAAUACCCUGGUAGUC